rnacentral:lncRNA from 1 species
ACAGUAGACACUAUUUAAUCAGAGGAUAGAAUGGGCUUGGAUAACCCUUACUACAGACUGGUUUUCACACAAGGUACAGUAGACAGUUAUUUAAUCAGAGGAUAGAAUGGGCUUGGAUAGCCCUUACCACAGACUGGUUUUCACACAAGGUACAGUAGACACUAUUUAAGCAGAGGAUAGAAUGGGCUUGGAUAGCCUUUACUACAGACUGGUUUUCACACAAGGUACAGUAGACACUAUUUAAGCAGAGGAUAGAAUGGGCUUGGAUAGCCUUUACUACAGACUGGUUUUCACACAAGGUACAGUAGACAGUUAUUUAAGCAGAGGAUAGAAUGGGCUUGGAUAGCCCUUACUACAGACUGGUUUUCACACAAGGUACAGUAGACACUAUUUAAGCAGAGGAUAGAAUGGGCUUGGAUAAC